AAAUUGAAGAGUUUGAUCAUGGCUCAGAUUGAACGCUGGCGGCAGGCCUAACACAUGCAAGUCGAACGGUAGCACAGAGAGCUUGCUCUCGGGUGACGAGUGGCGGACGGGUGAGUAAUGUCUGGGAAACUGCCUGAUGGAGGGGGAUAACUACUGGAAACGGUGGCUAAUACCGCAUAACGUCGCAAGACCAAAGAGGGGGACCUUCGGGCCUCUUGCCAUCAGAUGUGCCCAGAUGGGAUUAGCUUGUUGGUGAGGUAACGGCUCACCAAGGCGACGAUCCCUAGCUGGUCUGAGAGGAUGACCAGCCACACUGGAACUGAGACACGGUCCAGACUCCUACGGGAGGCAGCAGUGGGGAAUAUUGCACAAUGGGCGCAAGCCUGAUGCAGCCAUGCCGCGUGUAUGAAGAAGGCCUUCGGGUUGUAAAGUACUUUCAGCGGGGAGGAAGGUGUUGUGGUUAAUAACCGCAGCAAUUGACGUUACCCGCAGAAGAAGCACCGGCUAACUCCGUGCCAGCAGCCGCGGUAAUACGG
rnacentral:rRNA from 1 species